rnacentral:rRNA from 1 species
CCUACGGUGGGCUGCAGUGAGGAAUAUUGGUCAAUGGGCGCUAGCCUGAACCAGCCAAGCAGCGUGAAGGAUGACUGCCCUUUGGUUGUUAACCUUCUUUUACAUGGGAAUAAAGUGCAGCAGGUAUACUGCUCUGCAUGUACCCUAUGAAUAAGCAUCGGCUAACUCCGUGCCAGCAGCCGCGGUAAUACGGAGGAUUCGAGCGUUAUCCGGAUUUAUUGGGUUUAAAGGGAGCGUAGGCGGGAUGUUAAGUCAGUUGUGAAAAUUCGGGGCUCAACCGUAGGAUUGCAGUUGAAACUGGCAGCCUUGAGUACGGGAGAGGUAGGCGGAAUUCGUGGUGUAGCGGUGAAAUGCAUAGAUAUCACGAAGAACUCCGAUUGCGAAGGCAGCCUGCUGGACUGUAACUGACGCUGAGGCACGAAAGUGUGGGUAUCAAACAGGAUUAGAUACCCCAGUAGUC